GCCUCGGUAGCUCAGCCGGCCAGAGCACCCCACUCGUAAUGGGAAGGUCACCGGUUCGACUCCGGUCCGAGGCU
rnacentral:tRNA from 1 species